rnacentral:lncRNA from 1 species
UUCAAUCUCAAAUGUACACCAGUACUCAAAAAGAUAAACAUCACUGAUUGAACGGCUAGUUAUUCUUUAUCAGAAGGUUUUGUCUUACUCUCUAAGCUAAAUUGAGAAUAAUGGAGGUCCAACAGCGAGGCGUCCGUUGACGGUAAGAUCGGACGGCGACCUUCCUUCGAGUACUGACGAACGGCGGCGGUUAUUAAGUCACCGACAGUGUUUUCCGGCGACAGCACUACUUGUACAGCUCCGAGACUCCCUUGAAUGGUCACGUUCAACAGCAGCUUCGUCAACUUCGGCCUCGCAUCCGG